AAAAAAACUGAAAAAAAAAAUUGAAAAAGAAUCCUCACACUCACACAAAAACACUUCAUAUGUUACAAAAAAAACACAAAACACUCUCCUUCGUUGUCAUUGAGCCUGAUUCCGUCAUCACCGUUUCUUCACCGCCGUUUCCAUCACCGUUGUUUCCUUCUCCGACCAUAACCCUAACUGAUUUCUUCAUCACAGUUUCCUAUCACGCCUAAUCUACUCAUUUUCUUCAUCAACCCUAAUCCCUAAAUCGUUUUCUUCAUUCCUUAAAUCGCAAAAUCGCAAACUGGUUCGUUGCUCUCAUUUCAAAACAAGAUGAUGAACGGGGUAUUUCGUUUUCUCUUCAAUUUUAUUUUUUUUAUUCAGAGUCAAUUGAAAAUUGAAGAAAGAGGGAUCUUUUGUGGUUUUGGUGUUUUUUUUUUCCUCUUCGUUUUUGAGAUCGUAACUGGUUUGAAUUGUUCACUGAUUAAUAAUUCGUUGAUAGGUAUUUAGCUUAUUGGAACUUUUGGGUUUUGUUGAUUUAUUGCAUUUAGAUGGAACUCUUGUGAAUCACAAUACCAAAUAUUUUUCAAUUGGAUGAGUUUAUUUGUUAUCUGUUUUAGUUUGAUGAGUUAUCAAUUAUCAAGCUGUACGGGUUUUUUUUAUUUUUUUGCUUCUAAUGUGUUGAUGCUUAAGGCCCUGCACCUGGUGUGUGUGGGUGUUAGUGCCACUGUUAGUUUUUAUUUUCCUUUGAUAUGUGGAGCCUUUGUAAGGUUGACCACAACCAAUAUUCCAACUGAUGGGUGAGUACAUCAUGUGUAUUUAUUGAAAAUUAGGCAUAGUUGGUGCAAUUAUGUUCACUUGUUUUGUAGUAAAAUAAAUGUCUUGUUUAAUAUAUGGCUUCAUUCUUGCUUGAGUACUAGAUUUUGGGGGUUGGGGCAUUGCUAAUAAUUACUGAGCAUGAGUGCAAGUUCCUAACUAUGCUUGAUUGUAAACUUUUGAUUACUUUAUAUAGGUGUUGUGCAAAAAGGUUUUAAUGCUAUUUUCAGAGACUGUAAUGGUAUUUCCAUUUUCUACUUAGGUUUUAUUGAUUGAAAUUCUAUGGUGAUUGAAUUUGCUUCAUCGCCAUUUUCUAUAAUAAGCACUAAAUCCCUAAUCGUCGACCUUAAUCCCUAAAUUGUUUUUUCCUUCAUUCCAAUCCCUAAUCCCUAAAUUUCCGACGAAGCUUCUCAAUUUCCGGCUAGUGACAAAGCUUCUCUUUCUUUUUCUCAUUGAACAUAGUUCAUUGUUUUCAUCUCAGGUUACUUGUUCUCUCUUUGAGCAAGUUAUCAUUUGAAAAACAACUAUCAGUUGAUUGUAUCAUAGCUUUGCUUUGGAUCUGUUUUUGUUGGUUGUGAAGGUUGAGAAUUGAAAUUUAAGAUUUUGUAUGAUUUUUAUGAUGUUUUGUUUUGAGAAAUGUUUGUUGGUUUUGUUUUGUGAGGUUUGCAUGAGUAUAUCUGCUUCAUACAUUUAGCUACUUGCCUUGUGAUCUUAAUUUCAUCGAUCAUCUAGUGACAUUGGAUAUGGAAAGAAAACCAGUGUGCGAGGCCGAUACUUGUUGAUCCGGGGUAGUACAUGAAUAAGAAGCAAGAUGUGUUUUGGGUUACAUAGAGGAGAAGUAAACCAGCUGCUUUCAAACUUUUCACAGAUAGUGAUUGGAUUCAACUAAAGAUAGAAGCAUUUCUCAUUUUGCGCAGCCAAUUUCUUAAGUCUGCUGCCAAAUUUUAACUCUGCUGCUGAUUUUGUAACUCUGCUGCCGUUUUCGUAAUUGAAUAAGAAGAAUCAAGAAAUGAUUAAGGAUCAUGAAGCAACAUAACAUACUAAGGAUUAGUUUUUUUCCUUUUAGAGUUUCAAGUUAUUUAAUUAAAUUUUUUAUGUAUGGAUGUUGUCACUAUUGAAUUAAUUAUAUGAAUGAGAUUAAGUUAUUUA